rnacentral:tRNA from 2 species
AAAUGAUUCUUAUCUCUUUUUGGAGAGAUGGCCGAGAGGUUUAAAGCGUCGGAUUGCUAAUCCGU